rnacentral:tRNA from 1 species
GCCAGUCUUCAAACCCGAUGGUGGUGUGGUG